CCCAGAAUCAAAGAGCAAAUUAGGGCCUGAGU
rnacentral:piRNA from 1 species